AUCUUCCAAUUUCCUUACCGCUCAGAUUUAGACACUAAUCUGAAUGCUUAUACAAGGAGGGAAUGCAAAAUUAAGACUGAUUUCAAUGCUUGUGUGGCACAUGAGCUAGUUUCAAACAAUU
rnacentral:snoRNA from 1 species